AUUGAACGCUGGCGGCAGGCCUAACACAUGCAAGUCGAGCGGAUGACGGGAGCUUGCUCCUUGAUUCAGCGGCGGACGGGUGAGUAAUGCCUAGGAAUCUGCCUGGUAGUGGGGGACAACGUUUCGAAAGGAACGCUAAUACCGCAUACGUCCUACGGGAGAAAGCAGGGGACCUUCGGGCCUUGCGCUAUCAGAUGAGCCUAGGUCGGAUUAGCUAGUAGGUGAGGUAAUGGCUCACCUAGGCGACGAUCCGUAACUGGUCUGAGAGGAUGAUCAGUCACACUGGAACUGAGACACGGUCCAGACUCCUACGGGAGGCAGCGGUGGGUAAUAUUGGACAAUGGGCGAAAGCCUGAUCCAGCCAUGCCGCGUGUGUGAAGAAGGUCUUCGGAUUGUAAAGCACUUUAAGUUGGGAGGAAGGGCAGUAAGCGAAUACCUUGCUGUUUUGACGUUACCGACAGAAUAAGCACCGGCUAACUUCGUGCCAGCCGCCGCCGUAACAC
rnacentral:rRNA from 1 species